rnacentral:rRNA from 1 species
CCUACGGGUGGCUGCAGUGGGGAAUAUUGGACAAUGGGGGGAACCCUGAUCCAGCCAUGCCGCGUGUGUGAAGAAGGCCCUCGGGUUGUAAAGCACUUUCAGUGAGGAAGAACGCCUGGUGGUUAAUACCCAUCAGGAAAGACAUCACUCACAGAAGAAGCACCGGCUAACUCCGUGUCAGCAGCCGCGGUAAUACGGAGGGUGCGAGCGUUAAUCGGAAUUACUGGGCGUAAAGCGCGCGUAGGUGGCUUGAUAAGCCGGUUGUGAAAGCCCCGGGCUCAACCUGGGAACGGCAUCCGGAACUGUCAAGCUAGAGUGCAGGAGAGGAAGGUAGAAUUCCCGGUGUAGCGGUGAAAUGCGUAGAGAUCGGGAGGAAUACCAGUGGCGAAGGCGGCCUUCUGGACUGACACUGACACUGAGGUGCGAAAGCGUGGGUAGCAAACAGGAUUAGAUACCCGAGUAGUC